rnacentral:lncRNA from 1 species
UAUAUAUAUAUAUAUAUAUAUAAACACCCAUUCCUAGUUUAAUUGUACAUCAACACGACACAUAGCACUCUAUUUUUUUUUUAACAUCGAAUAUUAUUACUUAACUUGAGGAAAUGUGAUCAGCAUGUAACAGAGAAUGUAAGUAUUGAGGUACAUAAUAAUAAAAUUUGAAAUCGGUUUCAUUCUCAACCCGCUUCGCAAGACAAUCAGCUACUUUAUUUGCAUCCCUGUUAAUCCAUUGGAAACUAAUACUCUGAUACUUCGCUGCCCACCAUCUGAUAUCUCUUGUCCAAUUGUAAUAAGCAAAGUGUAGCUUCUUAUUAUUGAUAAUCUCCACUGCCUUUUGACAAUCAGUUUCCAUGAUCACUUUCCUGUGUCCCAAGCUCCAGCAAUGUUGCAAGGCCAUUAAAAUAGCCUGGAGUUCACAUUCCAAAGCAUCCUGAACUCUUCUUCCUCUCGCAUGAGCAGAACCUUUAUAGACCCCAUUCUCAUCCCUGAUAAUCCAUCCAG